rnacentral:rRNA from 1 species
GACGGAGGAUGCAAGCGUUAUCCGGAAUGAUUGGGCGUAAAGCGUCCGCAGGUGGCAGUUCAAGUCUGCUGUCAAAGACCGGGGCUUAACUCGGAAAGGCAGUGGAAACUGAACAGCUAGAGUAUGGUAGGGGCAGAGGGAAUUCCUGGUGUAGCGGUGAAAUGCGUAGAGAUCAGGAAGAACAUCGGGUGGCGAAGGCGCUCUGCUGGACCAU